ensembl:lncRNA
CCUCAAGAUAAACAAAUCCAAGUGUUGUGUGGUUAAGUGUAAAAUCUGGGCAGUUCUGUGCUUCAGAAUGUGUGUGGUUUAGAAGAUAGACUCUCAUGGGGAUGUGGUGAAAUGUGUGAGUCUGACAGACAGUAGCUCAGACUUGAACUGGGCCCUGUAGCCCAGCUCUGAUUCACAGUUGAAACAUAAAUAAAAGCCACUGGCUAUUAUUUAGAGAGAAGGUGUUUUUGAAGAAAGCCUCACCCUGGGACAUGAGAUGGAGGGAGGAAGGAAGAGACAGUGCUGGGAGGGAAUCUUCAAUAAAGAAAGGGGGAAAGAAAUCUUGUGUUGUACAGCAGAUCGUCUCUCACUUGAAUUUGGUUUUCUCCUCAGGACACAGAAGGCUGUGUAUGGAGAUGGCGCCGCCUCCGCAGUGCAUUGACAUGCAAACCAGAUCCCACUAGAGACAUGAAGAGAAGUAUUAAACUGAGGACUGACUGAUGGAUGACUAAGGUUUGCUUAAAGGUUACCAUCUCUUCUUUUCUUUCUAUCUAUCACUCUUUCUCUCUCCUGUCAUUCUCAUUCCCUCCUCCUGAUUAAUGUCUUGAUUAAAUGCCAUGAAAUGACUUGGCGCAUGACACACACAUAUAACUGAGCUCUACAGAUGUAAUAUUAAGCAUGUCCACUUACAUCAGUCCAGCUCUCAUUGACAGUUCUUAGAAUUUAGUAGCCAUUUUUAAAAUUGACUCAGACUGGUUUAUUAUUGAUUCACUCAACUCUCAGUCUCAACCAAUGCAAAAAAAGAGUUAAUCUUGUCCAUUGGAGGUGGCCAGUUACUAUAAAACUAUAUAAUCACUUUGUUCUGCUUUUAAUGCUAUAUAACGAAGCUUGAUUGUAAGGAUUGUCAUGGGCCAGUGUGAAAGAUUCUGUAUUUCAUUGUGCUUUGGUUUACUGUAACAAAUCUAUCUAUCAGAAUCAGCAUUGGUCGCACAUCUACAGAGGUGGAAAGUAACGAAUUACAUUUACUCGCGUUACUGUAAUUGAGUAGCUUUUUUGUGUACUUCUACUUUUUAAAGUAAUUUUUAAAAUCUGUAAUUUUACUUUUACUUAAGUAUAUUUUGUUUUAAGUAUUGUACUUCGCUACAUUUUAAAACACAUUAAUUACUGAGUAAAAAAAAAAUAAAAAAUCGCUCCCUGGAAACUACUGCAGUAACUAAUGGGCAGGGGGCAAUUCUG